CCCUUGCCUUGUCUCUGUUUUCUUUCCGUAAAAUAUUUUGUUCCAGAAAUGUAACAGUUUGUGGUAUUUGCUGGGCAGCCUCCUGCCCAAUGUAUCAAAAUGUUCUGUGACUGUUUGAACUUACUGGCCCCUCUCUGGAAGGUUCUGUUAGCCCCGCCCCUCUUUCUGUGAGCGUGCUCACCCACGGUGCCUUUCAGGAACCCCGCCCCCACCCCUACCCCUGUUUCGGUGAGCUCGGCCACCCUGUAGACCCCUAUAUAAGGAGGGCUUAUACUCCAACUCCACUGAGCCCGCAAGCGUAUUAGGCUGUAACACUGUGCUGUAACACUUGGCUGUAGCACCGAGCUGUCCGCUUUGCCACAACAUUUACAUUGUCCACUGCCCAUCACCCUCAGAAGAUCCUGCGCAGCCAGAGGUAAUCACUGCUCUAAUUUUGUCACCCACGGGGUGGACCAACUGACCAGCAUAGAUACACGGGGACCCCAGCGAGCCCUGACUCACUGACUGGGCAUGAAAAGCGCUAGUGUGUGACACUCUGAAACCCUCCAAGGGUAAAUCUGACACAGACCGAAAGAACGCUGCUAUGGGACCGGGAAAACAUACUGAGAAGUCCUGCCAGCUGCAAGAUGUAAUCUGGUGGAGGAAAGUCCGAGAAAUUUCACUGGAAUUGAGGGACCAGGGUGUCAAAAGGAACAUCAGGAAUAAGGAAGAAGAGGAGGAAGACAGCAAAGGGUGGAGCAACGGUGUCAGUGACAUGAACUGAGGGACCCCCACGUCCCCUAGGGCCAAUGUCUGCCUUUUUUGUGCCUCUCUUUAGUUUUACUUUUUAGAGCUCAUCGAAUGGAAAAGCCCAUGAUAUUAACCUAUCCCGGUGUUCACAGUGGAGUCAAUCACAGAGACAUAGACAGGGAACUCCAGGCACUGAAUCUGGGAGGAGAAGAAGUGCUGCUGAAGCCUCGGGACCUCAACCCUGGGGGUCGGAAGCCCGUGUCACGUGAUCUCUGCCCUUCAGUUUAAGUCACCUGUCCUACAAACACACCAUGCUGCACACGCACUGCCUCUUGCAGUCCUGUUAGCACCCAACAAGCAGGGUGCUACAGAGGUCCUGGUGUUUCGGAGCAGACCCAGGGCUCAGGAAGGCUGCGGGACUCGCUGAGGCUGUGGAGGAAGUCAGUACUGAAAGCAGGUACGCACCUGAAGCCGGAAGUCCCAGGAACGAAUGACGAAGCUUAUCUCAUCUCGCACCGAUUAAACACAGCCUUCCCGCUCAGCCUGUGUUUGAACAUGUCUCGUGUCUGAGGCAGUCAAUUUGCAGUGUCUUGGACCCCAGGAAUCCAAAUGGCCGAUGCAAAGGUUAAAACUCAUUUCUUUGUCCCACGUAGCUCCCUGCAUAACUCAUUACCUAAAGGGGCUCUUAAUGCAUGGAGUGGAAUCAUGAGUCCGUAGAUUGUUCCUGAACUUUCCGGUUGUCCUUUUUGCUGAAGGCAUUAGCUGAAACACCUCUCCCUCUAUUUUGCACUGUCCCAGCCAGCCUGGACUGAUGCUCACUCUACAUGAUGAGGCCAUAUCCUGUUCCAAGCACUGUUGCUGCUCAAGAUGUAACCCCAACUCAGUGAUUUCAGUGCCCACCAUUGCAUUAUGCUUCUGGGUGCUGUGAGCUAGGUAUUUGGAAAAGGCACAGUGGGGAUCAUUCUUUGUUCCUUGAUGCUGAAGCCUUAGUUGAAAAGACUCAAAAGCUGAGGGGUAAUGCUGGGGGCUGACACCAUCUCCUGGUGAGUCUUAGUUCCUUUGUGUUGCUGUGACAAAACAAGCAACAGACAGAGAUAGAGACCAAAAGAAUAACGACAGCACUCUGGGAAACAGUUAUGUUGCAGCCAGGUGGCCCUGGACUCCCUAGUCAAUUGCAACAGUGAAUUCCCUUUCUAACAAAUGAGAUUUUCAACCGAGAUUCUGUCACUUGUGAUCACAAGGUCCUGAGUUAAACUUAUUAGAUAUAAGCAGCACUUGACAGCAUGGGUUCUGCCAAUCUCAUGCCAGCCCAAGAUCAUAAAGAAAAGGUUGCAGGUGGCAAGGAAGACUUAAGCAUAUUGAAUUCCUCCCAAGUGGAAACUUUCUUUGUUUUCUUGUGGUGCAGAUUCAUGCCUUCAUGUUCAUAGCUGGAAUCUGCAAGACGUGUAAAAUUGUAUGUACUGAGUUUCCAGCCCUGCCCUGGAACAGGAAGUACCAUAGGGCAAGAGGCCCAAACCUGGAUCCCACCAGGGCCGAGGCUGCCUCCCGUCAGCUGGGACUUUAGGGCCGCCGCUGUGAGGAGACUGCCACCAUUCUGAGCCACUUUGUUCUAAAUGGUUGCUUUUAAUAAAAAUCCUUAUUUGC